rnacentral:rRNA from 1 species
UACAUAGGGGGCAAGCGUUGUCCGGAAUGACUGGGCGUAAAGGGUGUGUAGGCGGUUUUGUAAGUUGGAAGUGUAAUACCUAGAGCUUAACUCAGGUGCUGCUUCCAAAACUGUAAAACUUGAGUGUCGGAGAGGAAAAUGGAAUUCCUAGUGUAGCGGUGGAAUGCGUAGAUAUUAGGAGGAACACCAGAGGCGAAAGCGAUUUUCUGGACGAUAACUGACGCUGAGGCACGAAAGCGUGGGGAGCAAA